UACGAAGGUGGCAAGCGUUGUUCGGAUUUACUGGGCGUAAAGGGAGCGUAGGUGGUGCGGUAAGCCCUCCGGGAAAGCUUCAGGCUUAACCUGAAAAGGUCGGGGGGGACUGCCUAGCUAGAGGGCGGGAGAGGAGCGCGGAAUUCCCGGUGUAGCGGUGAAAUGCGUAGAGAUCGGGAGGAAGGCCGGUGGCGAAGGCGGCGCUCUGGAACGUUUCUGACACUGAGGCUCGAAAGCGUGGGGAGCAAACAGG
rnacentral:rRNA from 1 species